CACGUAGGGUGCGAGCGUUGUCCGGAAUUAUUGGGCGUAAAGAGCUCGUAGGCGGUGUGUCGCGUCGGCCGUGAAAACCUGCAGCUUAACUGUGGGCUUGCGGUCGAUACGGGCAUCACUGGAGUUCGGCAGGGGAGACUGGAAUUCCUGGUGUAGCGGUGAAAUGCGCAGAUAUCAGGAGGGAACACCCGGGUGGCGAAGGCGGGUCUCUGGGGCCGAUACUGACGCUGAGGAGCGAAAGCGUGGGGAGCGAACAGG
rnacentral:rRNA from 1 species